GCGGCUGUCGUAUAACGGCUAUUAUUCGGGACUGUGGAUCCUGAGAAGGGAGUUCGAUUCUCCCCAGCCGCC
rnacentral:tRNA from 1 species